AGGCAAUUAGUUUAAAUAAAACAUUUGAUUUCGGCUCAAAAACUUGCGGUUAGAGUCCGUAAUUACCUA
rnacentral:tRNA from 1 species